AGAAUAAUGUCUCACACAUCUGAUGACGGACAAUCAUUACAUGUUCAGGGUUCUCAGGAGGCUACUGCCACUCUUCCUGAGACCAAACCGAAAGAGGAGCCAGUAAAACCUACAGAACCACUUUCAGAAGAUAUCUGUAAAAGUGAUUCAGUCUGCAUUGAGAAGGCAACAACAGAUUUGACUUCAAAUCUAAUCCCAGUAAUGGUGGAUAAAGGAAAACAAGUGAAAACAACUGAAAACAUCUCCAAUCAAAGCCAAACAUCCUUGAUCACAUGCACUAGCAAAGAACAUGGGAGUAACACAGAGUGCAAAGAGGAGAACAUGUUGCUGAAUUUGACAUCAGAGACUGGACUGAAUCCAUUAAGCAAGGAGCAUUUCACAAUGAAAAGCACAGUAGAUGACGAUGUAGAUGGUUUGAGUAUACAUGAUUGUGAGGCAUCAGAAACACACAGUGAUGUGCUUGCAAGAAACACAACCAACAGUCAUAAAACUGAGCUCAGGUCAAAUGUGACUCCAGAAGCCAAGUUGAUGGAUACUAUCAAUGAUACAGCUGAGACAGACACUAAAAAAUGUAGUGAGCAAAAUGCAAUUAUGAAAAAUACUCUAAAUGUGCAGUGUUUUGAAGGAACAGAAUAUAUGUCAGUAAAUAUCCCACACAUGAACCAAUCAUGUCUCAAAAUGUUUACCAGCACAUCUAAUGUCAGCAGUGUUUGGAGUACUGAUUCUGAGGCAUUUGAAAACACAACAUCAGCUUCAAAGCCAUGUGGUCCAAAGGCUUUGAAAUAUACAUCAAAUAAUGUUGUAGAUCUUACUGUUGAUGAUCCAGCUUUGAGUGUCCAGUGUGAGAUUUCCUCAAAACGCACAAAAAAGAGCCGCAACACUGGUUUGCUCGGCUCUACCAAAUCACAGAGUACUCUGACAAUCAGAGAAAACUGUAAUUUAUCAAGGCCAGACCAAAAUAAAACCGAUGAGGCAAACACACCAGAAACCCAGCUCAUUUCUAAACUAAGAAAUUAUUUGACCAAAUUUGAGUCCACUGUCAAGAAACAAGAAGCAGAAAAUGAAGAUCUUAAAGAAAGACCAGUGAUGUGGAUAACGCUUGACAGCACAGCACAUAAACAGCAGUUGUUUGAAAAAAGCCAGUACUGUAUGGUAAAUGUUCCCUGCCUGAUGCCUCACGGGGGUGAAGCUGUUAAAAAAGACAAUUCAGGUGAAUACACCGAAGCCCCUGUUCAAGCUAGGAAGGCUCUUCAAAGUAAACAUGCUCAAAAUGGAACCGAUGUUUGCCUACUAGUGCCUGUUGAAUCUAAGAGAGGCCGACGAUCUUCUCAAACCAAACGAACCAGUAAUCAAAAAUCAAGAAGGAGCUCAGUCACUAGUGUCAGUCCUGACAGUACCAGUGCUAUAGACACCAUCAAAGGUAACAGUCCUCACCCUUUGCCCCAGGUGAACGACCAGAAUGCUGUUUUUCCAGAAAUCUCCAUCAAUAAUACCCUUAAUAACCAGUUGCAGAUGCAAAGAAAAAACACAACAGGCCAACAAAAUCCCUCAAUGACUUUGAAUAGUUUAUGUAAGCAAAAGAAUCAAAAGAAACAAUCUUUGCAUACCAUAAAAAUCAUUGAUGAUGGCAAUGUGAGCAGUACAUUCGCUGACAAUAAAUACAGCAUCUGUGACAUUUCAAACACUCUUAAGAUAGCUGACCAAACAGUCUCAUUAACCGAACUUGGAUCUUUGCAGUCUAAAUGCAAAAACAUGUUGCAGCAUUUUAUAUUUUGAACAAGAUCAGAAAGAGCCAUUCAACCGAUAUUUAGUUUCAAGGUGUAUCAUUCUAGAGCAAUAUUUGGACCAUCCACCUGCACAAGCAGACUUGAAGUAUGAAGCGGUGAAUUCUUACUUGGAGUUGCAGAUGAUGAUGGAGGCUUGGCAGUUUGUUGAAAACAAAAUCAACUUUCUGAGUGGUAAACCCACGUUUAGGAGUUUGCUAUGGUAUGACCCUUCUCUUUAUGGAGAACUCUACAAAGGGGAGGUUGGCUUUCAGCAGCAGUCGUCGUUGUUUGCUUCUUUUCAAAAGACCUUGGCACAAGAGGGCUACAGUAAACUGCAGGAAUACUACAGUGCAGUAUCCUCCUUGCACCAACAGCUCCAUGCGGCCACUGAUGCAUCUUACUACAUGUAUCUGAAGAGUAAGCGUGAGCUCCUUGAGGCUGAGGCUGCACUCAGAAAUCCCCACAACAUUAAAAGCUUCUUUUUAUCUGUACCAAUGUCUGCAAUGAUUAAUUUUGGAGACAGAUUGGAAAGAUUAGAAAAGAUACACAAAGUGAUAAUGACUUUUGUGGAAACACCUUCGGAUCAGUUGCCAGGGACAUUUGAUGUGGGCAAAGCAGAGCAUCUGUCCAUCACAUGCAGAUAUCUCCAAGAAAAAGCUCUUUUCAUAAAGUCAUGUAAAGAAAUAAUUAGCAAAGUAUCAUGGUUUGGAAUCGAGCACCUUCUUUAUGAUGCCUCUAAGGUUCUUGUAUGGCAAGACAUGAGUCACGGUGCACCAAAUGAAGUUCUCAAGACAUAUAAGAAUUCAAACCCACAGAUUAUUUUUGGGGUGACAGAGUCAGGUGUUACUCUCGUAAACAAAGUGGAACAGCCCCCUCCGUCCAUGGAUGGAGCAGAGACCCCAACAAAACAAAAGAGUGAUGCUGCUCAGAAACGCAAAAGCUUUCAGUUAUGGACAUCCUCUCAACCCAGUGUUGCACAGAGUGUAAAGGCUGACAAGGAUGUGGCUUAUAAAAUGGCUAAAAGGAGGCCAUCUCUUUCACCCCUAACGCAAUGUAAUGGUGUGAACCCCCUUUUCCAAUCAACUUCUGCAACCCAUGAUGAGAACCCGACCCCUUACGCUCUUCCUCACAGAGUGGAUCCAGGGCAUUGGGGAAUGGUUGGAAGCACUGCUGCAGACUGGAACGCCUCGAACUUCCCACCCAACCUCCCACCUUCACCUUCCACAUCUCAUGCAAAUUCUCUUCAUUUGUCUAAUAGACGGGCGACUUCAUCACAUUCUGAUGAGAGGAGAUCUAUAGCAGACAUACAAAGACCUCAACAGCCUUCAGUCUCAGCUCCCCAAGCAACUUUACGAGGAGAUUCUUGUGUUACACAUCUAGCAUUUGACAAUGUUAAAUAUCAACAAACUAACACUGCACCACAUUGUCCUGUGCUGUCACAAGAACAAGUAAACCAGUUCAGUUUAGCAAUGACACAACCUUAUAGUUUACCAAAUUGCCAUUUGGAUGAAAAUUUGAUGCCUCCGCCUUUCUCAGUUCAGGCUUUGACACAUGUCCCUAUGCCCAGCACGAUUACAGCAAUUCAUUACCCCUACUUCCUUCUGAAUGGACAAACAUACACCACAGGCUCCACUGCAACCAUUCACCCUGAUACUAGAUAUUACUCUAACACCAUUUAGGGCUAAUGUACUAUGAGCUAUGAAAUCGAAUCACAUGUGAGUCAGUUUUAUUUAGUGAAGUGAUGUGUGGCCAAGUAUGGUGACCCAUACUCGGAAUCUGUGCUCUGCAUUUAACCCAACCCAAGUGCACACAGACAUUAUAAACACACACACACACACUGUGACCACACACCCAGAGCAGUGGGCAGCUAAUACAGCUGAAUUAUAACAUUUAUAACUAGUUUAACAUCAUAAAACUGAUUCACAAAUUGUUGGUGCUUUUAAGUAAAUGUACUUUAUAUAUAUAAAAAAAAAC